AACGAACGCUGGCGGCAGGCCUAACACAUGCAAGUCGAGCGCGCCCUUCGGGGUGAGCGGCGGACGGGUGAGUAACGCGUGGGAACGUGCCCUUUUCUACGGAAUAUCCUCGGGAAACUGAGAGUAAUACCGUAUACGCCCUUUGGGGGAAAGAUUUAUCGGAAAAGGAUCGGCCCGCGUUGGAUUAGGUAGUUGGUGGGGUAAUGGCCUACCAAGCCGACGAUCCAUAGCUGGUUUGAGAGGAUGAUCAGCCACACUGGGACUGAGACACGGCCCAGACUCCUACGGGAGGCAGCAGUGGGGAAUCUUAGACAAUGGGGGCAACCCUGAUCGAGCCAUGCCGCGUGAGUGAUGAAGGCCUUAGGGUUGUAAAGCUCUUUCAGCUGGGAAGAUAAUGACGGUACCAGCAGAAGAAGCCCCGGCUAACUCCGUG
rnacentral:rRNA from 1 species